rnacentral:lncRNA from 8 species
AUGUGGCAGGGCUUGCAAAUCAUUACAGACUUCAAAGGGAAGCACAGCCGAGAGCUGCCCAGUGACACGAGCCUACCAGACGAGCUAAACUACGUCUAUGCUCACUUCGAGGCAAAUAACAUUGAAACAUGCAUGAGAGGACCAGCUGUUCCGGAAGACUGUGUGAUCACACUCUCCGCAGCCGAUGUGAGUAAGACCUUUAAACAAGUCAACAUUCACAAGGCCGCAGGGCCAGACAGAUUGCCAGGACGUGUAUUGCGAGCAUGCACUGAACAACUGGCCAGUGUCUUCACUGACAUUUUCAACCUCUCCCUGUCCGAGUCUGUAAUACCAACAUGUUUUAAGCAGACCACCAUAGUGCCUGUGCCCAAGAACACUAACGUAACCUGCCUUAAUGACUACCGACCUGUAGCACUCAUGUCUAUAGCCACGAAGUGCUCUGAAAGGCUGGUCAUGUCUCACAUCAACACAAUUAUCCCAGAAACACUAGACCCACUCCAAUUUGCAUACCGCCCAAACAGAUCCACAGAUGAUGCAAUCUUUAUUGCACUCCACACUGCCCUUUCCCACCUGGACAAAAGGAACACCUAUGUGAGAAUGCUAUUCAUUGACUACAGCUCAGCGUUCAACACCAUAGUGCCCUCAAAGCUCAUCACUAAGCUAAGGACCCUGGGACUAAACACCUCCCUUUGCAACUGGAUCCUGGACUUCUUGACGGGCCGCCUCAAGGUGGUAAGGGUAGGUAACAACACAUCCGCCACGCUGAUCCUCAACACAGGGGCCCCUCAGGGGUCCCAACUCAGUCCCCUCCUGUACUCCUUGUUCACUCAUGACUGCACUGCCAGGCACGACUCCAACACCAUCAUUAAGUUUGCCAAUGACACAACAGUGCUAGGCCUGAUCACCAACAACGACGAGACAGCCUAUAGGGAGGAGGUCAGAGACCUGGCCAUGUGGUGCCAGGACAAUAACCUCUCUCUCAAGGUGAUUCUCAUCGAUGGGGCUGCAGUGGAGCAGCAACAAACUAACAUGGUCCAACCACACCAACACAGUCGAGGGCACAACAAUGCCUAUUCCCCCUCAGGAGUGAAAAGAUUUGGCAUGGGUCCUCAGAUCUUUAAAAGGUUCUACAGCUUCAACAUCGAGAGCAUCCUGACUGGUUGCAACUGCUCUGCCUCUGACAGCAAGGCACUACAGAGGAUAGUGCGUACGGCCCAGUACACUGAGGCCAAGCUUCUUGCCAUCCAGGACCUCUAUACCAGGCGUUGUUAG